rnacentral:rRNA from 1 species
AGAAGAUAUAAUCUUUAAAAUUUAAAGAAUUUGGCGGUAAAUUAAUUUAUCUAGAGGAAUUUGUUUAUUAAUUGAUAAUCCUCAUUUUAUCUUACCUUAAUUAAUUUUUAAGUAUGUAUAUCGCCGUUAUGAUGAAUAUUUUUAUAGAAUUAAUUUUCUUAUUAAAAGUGUUAUUAAAAUCAGGUCAAGGUGCAGUUUAUGUUAAGGAUAAAAAUGAAUUACAUUUAUUUUUAAUAAUUAUGAAUUAUUAUAUGAAAUUUUAAUAUGAAGGUGGAUUUAGAAGUAAAUUUUUAGUAGAGAGAUCUUUUGAAUUUGAUUUUGAUUUAUGUACACA